UCCUCUUUACAGAGGCAGUUUGUCCCGAGUCCCCGGCAUUACCCGCUGGUAACAGAACAUGAGGGUUGCGCUCGUUGCGGGACUUAACCCAACAUUUCACAACACGAGCUGACGACAGCCAUGCACCACCUGUGCACCACCUUCGAAAGCGGCUCCUUUUCGGGAGCUUGCAGGUGCAUGUCAAGCCUGGGUAAGGUUCUUCGCGUUGCAUCGAAUUAAGCCACAUGCUCCACCGCUUGUGCGGGCCCCCGCCAAUUCCUUUGAGUUUUAGCCUUGCGGCCGUACUCCCCAGGCGGGGUGCUUAAUGCGUUAGCUUCGGCACGGAUGGAGUCGACACCACCCACACCUAGCACCCAUCGUUUACGGCGUGGACUAC
rnacentral:misc_RNA from 1 species